rnacentral:rRNA from 1 species
UACGUAGAGGGCUAGCGUUGUCCGGAAUCAUUGGGCGUAAAGAGCGUGUAGGCGGCCCGGUAAGUCCGCUGUGAAAGUCGGGGGCUCAACCCUCGAAUGCCGGUGGAUACUGUCGGGCUAGAGUGCGGAAGAGGCGAGUGGAAUUCCUGGUGUAGCGGUGAAAUGCGCAGAUAUCAGGAGGAACACCGAUUGCGAAGGCAGCUCGCUGGGACGUUACUGACGCUGAGACGCGAAAGCGUGGGGAGCAAACAGG